AAGAGUGAAAAUGUAUGCGGUUGCUUUUGAAUGAUACAAAAGCAUGAAAAGGGAAUCCGGUGAAAAACCGGAGCAGUCACCUCUACUGUAACGCGGACGAUGAGACAAUAGGCCAUUGACAGAAUAAUGUUGAGAAGGUGUUUUCAAAGAAAGAUGCGAAGCCAGGAGACCUGCCGUAUAUAGGAAAGAAUG
rfam:Clostridium nexile CAG:348 genomic scaffold, scf81